UUAAAAAAAUUUUGUUGCCUUUGGCCAGUUUCCCCCCCUGCAUAAAAAAAAGAAAAAAAAUCAUAGCAAAAUUUAGAGAAAACACGAUCGAAUCUGUGCCACAGUCAGUAAAAAUUUAGUACAUUGUACAUAUACUGAGAGGAUUUAGUUCAGUGUACGUAUAGCAUUGCUUUUAGGGCUCAAUGCAGGCUGGCUGUUAUUGAUUAUAUUAGUUAAGUUCAUAAUGUUUAUGGAGCAUUAUCUGCUCUCUCUCUCUCUCUCUCUCUCUCUCUAAGAUUAUUCCACUUCAUUACGAACAAUAGUUGCGGUUACAAUAGUUAAAUAAAUCAGUUAUCAUGAAACGUAUACGUGUAUACGUUUCAUGACCCUCGUCACAGUUUUUCGUCUUUACGUCGGCUUACAUCAACUGUAACAGUUUUUUCCUUCUUUUAAGACAAAGACGCAUUUUACCGAUGCUAUUUUUUUUUCUUAAUUAAUUCACACUCCAUUCUGUCACCUACUUUCCCGAAAGAAAAGUGGACAACAUAGCUUUUAUGGUAGUAUUGGAGAGUAACAGUGAAUCUAGAAAAAAUUGAUAUAUAAUUUAAUUUGGUAAUAUGUUUUAAUUCUGGGUGUUUUGAGGCAUUUUCUUAUUCAAAUUAUUUUCAUUUUAACAUAUUUGGAAUAAUACAUAGUUUUUGCAUCCACCAAAUUCACGCUUAUCGUGAGGCCGCCGUUGUACAGUGGAACCGUGCGUGCUUUGGGGUCCGAGGGGGAGAUCCAAGCGCACGGGUUCAAAUCCUGUCCACGGUCCGAGUGUAGGUUGGGCUUCCUCACUUGGGGCAACUGUUUCCUAGCGGGUGGGCUUUGAGAUAAGAGGUACCCCAAAAAGUAUCCCCUUUAGCCCAUAAAUUCCCGUGAAAAGCCCACAUGGUAAAAAAAAAAAAAAGUCUACGAAGGACGCUCUUGACGCAAUUUCAUGCACGGCUAAAAAGUUGAGAAAUAUCACUCACCCUCUUACCAUUGUCUGCUCUUUUGUGUCUGCUUUACCUGUACUAUUUUUUUUUUUUUUUU